CCCUUAGAUGUUCUGGGCCGCACGCGUGCUACACUGAGUGGAUCAGCGGGUCAGGUUGCGCGAAAGUGUUUCCUAAUCUUUAAAUCCGCUCGUGAUGGGGAUUGACGGUUGCAACUUUCCGUCAUGAACGAGGAAUACCUUGUAAGCGCGGGUCAUCAUCCCGCGCUGAAUACGUCCCUGCCCUUUGUACACACCGCCCGUCGCUCCUACCGAUUGAGUGGUCCGGUGAGGCUUUGGGAUCUGAGCGGAAAGAGCGUUUCGCUGUUUCUGCCCGGAAAACUCAGUCGAACCUUAUCAUUUAGAGGAAGGAGAAGUCGUAACA
rnacentral:rRNA from 1 species